CAGCAGUAGCCGCGGUAAUACAGAGGGUGCGAGCGUUAAUCGGAUUUACUGGGCGUAAAGCGUGCGUAGGCGGCUUUUUAAGUCGGAUGUGAAAUCCCUGAGCUUAACUUAGGAAUUGCAUUCGAUACUGGGAAGCUAGAGUAUGGGAGAGGAUGGUAGAAUUCCAGGUGUAGCGGUGAAAUGCGUAGAGAUCUGGAGGAAUACCGAUGGCGAAGGCAGCCAUCUGGCCUAAUACUGACGCUGAGGUACGAAAGCAUGGGGAGCAAACAGGAUUAGAUACCCGCGUAGUCCCUGUCUCUUAUAA
rnacentral:rRNA from 1 species